rnacentral:rRNA from 1 species
AACGAACGCUGGCGGCGUGCUUAACACAUGCAAGUCGAACGCGAAAGGGACUUCGGUCCUGAGUAAAGUGGCGCACGGGUGCGUAACGCGUAGAUAACCUGUCUUCAUGUCUGGAAUAAUACGCCGAAAGGGGUACUAAUACCGGAUAUUCUUGCUUUUCAUAAGUUAUGCAAGCAAAGGUGGCCUCUGCAUAUGCUACUGCAUGAAGAGGGGUCUGCGUACCAUUAGCUAGUAGGUGGGGUAAUGGCCUACCUAGGCGACGAUGGUUAGCGGGUCUGAGAGGAUGAUCCGCCACACUGGCACUGGAACACGGGCCAGACUCCUACGGGAGGCAGCAGUGAGGAAUAUUGCGCAAUGGGGGAAACCCUGACGCAGCGACGCCGCGUGAGUGAGGAAAGGCCUUCGGGUCGUAAAGCUCUGUCAAGAGGAAAGAAGUGUACAAUGGCUAAUACCUGUUGUAUUUGACGGUACCUCUAAAGGAAGCACUGGCUAACUCCGUGCCAGCAGCCGC